UUAAUGGUUUCAAUGGUUUAUCC
rnacentral:snRNA from 1 species